ACAGCUAUACAAUCUCCAUAGACAAACAUUGUCAGUAGAAUGGCCUUACUUAAGAGCUCAGUGACUUUCAAUGUGGCACCGUCAUAGGAUGCCACCUUCCCAACAAAUCAGUUCGUCAAAGUUCUACCUUGCUAGAGCUGCCCUGUUUAACUGUAAAUGCUGUUAUUGUGAAAUGGGAAAUUCUAAGCGCAACAACGACUGAGCCACUAAGUGGUAGUUCGCACAAUCUCACAGAACGUGACCGGCAAAAGUGCUGAAGUGCGCAGCUCGUAAAUAGAAUCUGUCCUCGGUAAGAACGCUACUUGCCCAAAUGGAUAGUGCCCAUUAGUUGCAGUGAAGAGAAAUCUUAAUGCUACACCAUACAAUGACAUUCUAGACAAAACUGUGCUUCCAACUUUGUGCCAACAGUUUGCGGAAGACCCUUUCCUGUUUCAGCAUGACAAUGCCCCCGUGCAUAAAGCGAGGUCCGUAAAGAAAUGGUUUGUCGAGAUCGGUGUGGAAGAACUUGACUGGCCUGCACAGAGCCCUGACCUCAACCCCAUUGAACACCUUUGGGAUGAAUUGGAAUGCAGACUGCAAGCCAUUCCUUAUCAGCCACAAGACCCCACUAAUGCUCUUGUGGCUGAAUGGAAUCAAGUCCCCACAGCAAUGUUCCAACAUUUAGUGGAAAACCUUCCCAGAAGCGUGGAGGCUGUAAUAGCAGCAAAGGGAGGACCAACUCCAUAUUAAUGCCCAUGAUUUUGGAAGGGGAUGUUUGACGAGCAGAUGUCCACAUAUACAGUGCAUUCAGAAAGUAUAUAGACCCCUUGACUUUUUCCACAUUUUGUUACGUUACAGCCUUAUUCUAAAAUUGAUUAAAACAAUUGUUUCCCUCAUCAAUCUACAUGUUUCCCUCAUCAAUCUACACAACCACCCAAUUUAUUCAAAAUUAAAAAACGGAAAUAUCUAAUUUACAUAAGUAUUCAGACCCUUUACUCAGUACUUUGAAGCACCUUUGGUAGUGGGUAUGAUGCUACAAGCUUGGCACACCUGUAUUUGGGGAGUUUCUCCCAUUCUUCUUUCCAGAGCUUCUCAAGCUCUGUCAGGUUGGAUGGGGAGCAUCGCUGCACAGCUAUUGUCAGGUCCAAAAAGUGCUGUAAUUUCUUAACAGUUCACCUGAUAUGAAUGAAAAUAUCCUCAAGUGAAAGCUGACAGUCUGCACUUUAACCGUAUAGUCAUUUGUAUCAUUUCAAAUCCAAAGUGCAGGAGUAUAGAGCCAAAAUAAGAAAACAUUCUUCACUGUCCCAGUAAUUACGGAUGCACUGUAUAUACAGUACCAAAAAUUAAGAUCUGAUCAUUUGAACAAGACAUUAACUCCAUGUGUCCAAAGGCUAAAUAUAGUACAAAAUCAAAACCUCAUAUUGUCGACAAAUGCUUUGGCCGGUAAAAAAUGUCCAUCAGUAAGCUCAGAGAACAAGUGAACCAAAGGAAAUUGUACAUUUCCGUUAUGGACAUGAAUGGUUUCAAUCCGAUUGGGUUUAUGAGUAAUAAACCCGUAGCAGACAUGUUUUUCUUUUGGCAUUUCAUUCAUUGUCUUAUGGUUUGACACAGACCACCUUAGUGUUUAGACAAUUAUUUAACAAUGCCUAUUGUCCAUUCUUUUGGAGUAUUAGAGAAGAAACAAAUUCAAAUCGACUCCUAUUAGUAAUGUGGAGACAAAGGGUGCUGUUGAAUUUAGUCACACUCUGUUCAGACAGUGUUGUAGUGGCUGUCAGACUUGGCUCGAGUAGUCAUUUGUGUUGUCAUCUUCAAUGUCUUCCAUCCCUGGGCACUCUUCAUUAACCUUUGCUGGUAACAAGUGAAACGGCACACAGUGUUGUGUGCAGCGGGAUUGAAUUCAAUGUGCGGCCAACACAAAAAAGGCUUUCAUUUCCUUCUUCUACUAACAGCCCUGAUACGUUGGAAAGCACAGUAAAGAAAUAUUCUGAGUGGUUAAAAUGAAACCGUGUUAGACAGUCACAGUAGCAGCUUUGUUGGGCUGUGUUGCUCAACCUUAUUAUAUCUGCUAUUGCUGCUUCUCUGUUAUGUUUACUUCUCCUUUCUUACGUUGAUCAGAAGAGAACCCCAGUCUGCAUGGGGCCAGACUAAGCAACAAGACCAGGGUCUCAUUCAACAUAAGAGAGGGAGGAUGUUGGAGAGAGUGCAGAGGGUAUGAGGAGAUGGCAGAGAACAGAACAGGAGAGGAGAGGGUGAGAGGGGAUGGCAGAGAACAGGAGAGGAGAGGGGGUGAGGAGAUGGUAGAGAACAGGAGAGGAGAUGGCAGAGAACAGGAGAGGAGAGGCUGUGAGGAGAUGGUAGAGAACAGGAGAGGAGAGGCUGUGAGGAGAUGGUAGAGAACAGGAGAGGAGAGGGUGAGAGGAGAUGGCAGAGAACAGGAGAGGAGAGGGGGUGAGGAGAUGGUAGAGAACAGGAGAGGAGAUGGCAGAGAACAGGAGAGGAGAGGCUGUGAGGAGAUGGCAGAGAACAGGAGAGGAGAGGGUGAGAGGAGAUGGCAGAGAACAGGAGAGGAGAGGGUGAGAGGAGAUGGCAGAGAACAGGAGAGGAGAUGGCAGAGAACAGGAGAGGAGAUGGCAGAGAACAGGAGAGGAGAGGGUGUGAGGAGAUGGCAGAGAACAGGAGAGGAGAUGGCAGAGAACAGGAGAGGAGAGGGUGAGAGGAGAUGGCAGAGAACAGUAGAGGAGAGGGUGUGAGGAGAUGGCAGAGAACAGGAGAGGAGAGGGUGAGAGGAGAUGGCAGAGAACAGGAGAGGAGAGGGUGAGAGGAGAUGGCAGAGAACAGGAGAGGAGAUGGCAGAGGAGAGGAGAGGGUGAGAGGAGAUGGCAGAGAACAGGAGAGGAGAUGGCAGAGAACAGAGGAGGUGUGAGGAGAUGGCAGAGAACAGGAGAGGAGAGGGUGUGAAGAGAUGGCAGAGAACAGGAGAGGAGAGGGUGAGAGGAGAUGGUAGAGAACAGGAGAGGAGAGGGUGUGAGGAGAUGGCAGAGAACAGGAGAGGAGAGGCUGCGAGGAGAUGGCAGAGAACAGUAGAGGAGAUGGUAGAGAACAGUAGAGGAGAUGGUAGAGAACAGUAGAGGAGAUGGUAGAGAACAGUAGAGGAGAUGGGCGAGAGGAGUUGGCAGAGAACAGUAGAGGGGAUGGCAGAGAACAGUAGAGGGGAUGGCAGACAACAGGAGAGGAGAGGGUGUGAGGAGAUGGCAGAGAACAGUAGAGGAGAUGGCAGAGAACAGUAGAGGAGAUGGUAGAGAACAGUAGAGGAGAUGGUAGAGGAGAUGGCGAGAACAGUAGAGGAGAUGGGCGAGAACA